GACGAACCUUGCUAACGUUAUUCGGAAUCACUGGGCGUAAAGGGCGCGUAGGCGGCUCAGUAAGGUUGCGGUGAAAGCCCGGGGCUCAACCCCGGGUCGGCCGUGGCAACUGCUGAGCUGGAGCACUGUAGAGGCAGGUGGAAUUCCGGGUGUAGCGGUGGAAUGCGCAGAUAUCAGGAAGAACACCAAUGGCGAAGGCAGCUCUCUGGGACGGUACUGACGCUGAGACGCGAAAGCGUGGGGAGCGAACAGG
rnacentral:rRNA from 1 species